rnacentral:rRNA from 1 species
UACGUAGGGGGCAAGCGUUGUCCGGAUUUAUUGGGCGUAAAGAGCGUGUAGGCGGCCAGGUAGGUCGGCUGUGAAAACUCGAGGCUCAACCUCGAGCUGUCGGCCGAAACCAUCUGGCUAGAGUCCGGAAGAGGAGAAUGGAAUUCCUGGUGUAGCGGUGAAAUGCGCAGAUAUCAGGAAGAACACCCGUGGCGAAGGCAGUACUCUGGGCUAACACUGACGCUGAGGUGCGAAAGCGUGGGGAGCGAACGGG